rnacentral:rRNA from 1 species
AACGAACGCUGGCGGCAUGCCUAACACAUGCAAGUCGAACGAGACCUUCGGGUCUAGUGGCGCACGGGUGCGUAACGCGUGGGAACCUGCCCUUAGGUUCGGAAUAACUCCCCGAAAGGGGUGCUAAUACCGGAUAAUGUCUUCGGACCAAAGAUUUAUCGCCUUUGGAUGGGCCCGCGUUGGAUUAGCUAGUUGGUAGGGUAAAAGCCUACCAAGGCGACGAUCCAUAGCUGGUCUGAGAGGAUGAGCAGCCACACUGGGACUGAGACACGGCCCAGACUACUACGGGAGGCAGCAGUGGGGAAUAUUGGACAAUGGGCGAAAGCAUGAUCCAGCAAGGCCGCGUGAGUGAUGAAGGCCUUAGGGUUGUAAAGCACUUUUACCCGGGAUGAUAAUGACAGUACCAGGAGAAUAAGCACCGGCUAACUCCGUG